rnacentral:rRNA from 1 species
GACGAACGCUGGCGGCGUGCCUAAUACAUGCAAGUCGAACGAAGCUGUUUUAACUGGUGCUUGCACCGACUUAAACAACUGAGUGGCGAACGGGUGAGUAACACGUGGGUAACCUGCCCCAAAGCGGGGGAUAACAUUUGGAAACAGAUGCUAAUACCGCAUAACCACAGAAACCACAUGGUUUCUGUGUCAAAGAUGGUUUCGGCUAUCACGUUGGGAUGGACCCGCGGCGUAUUAGCUAGUUGGUAAGGUAAUGGCUUACCAAGGCAAUGAUACGUAGCCGAACUGAGAGGUUGAUCGGCCACAUUGGGACUGAGACACGGCCCAAACUCCUACGGGAGGCAGCAGUAGGGAAUCUUCCACAAUGGACAAGGUCUGAUGGAGCAACGCCGCGUGAGUGAAGAAGGUUUUCGGAUCGUAAAACUCUGUUGUCAGAGAAGAACGUGUGCGAGAGUAACUGUUCGUGCAGUGACGGUAUCUGGCCAGAAAGCCACGGCUAACUACGUGCCAGCAGCCGCGGUAA